GUAUAAGGAGCUCAAGGUGGUUCCAUGGAAUUCUCAGUUUCCAGUUGAAUAGAACCAUUUUUGUGUGUGUGUGUGUGAGAAUUAAACUCAAUAAUCCAGCAGAGUUCAAAGUUACAGAAAGAGAAAACAAAAUUUUUACUGGGUGCAUUGUUGAGGUAACAGGGCAGGGAAUAUUCCCACUCCAGCCCCUUCGUUCUCAAAGCCAUGUGUCCUGACUAUUGUAGAAACAGCAUCAUGUAUUUAUUAGUCAUUAUUGCUAUCAAUUGCUAUUGGAAUAUAUUGUACAUCUUGUCAGAAGAUACCUUGGACUUGCAAGCUUUUAUGUGUAUGUGUUGGCUCUUCUUGUCCUCCCAGCAGGUGACGUACUGUUUCUUCAAUAGACCAUCGGGCUAUUUCAUUAAGACAGCAUCUUCAGACAAUGUGGUACAUGGUAGCACCAAUUUAAAUCAACAGACUGAAUAAACUACGAGAACCACUCCCACCUGCUUGAGGUCACAGUCACACCAGAAUCUCCGGUAAAGAUCUGGAAGCAAUGAGUGGUAGUAGGUAUUGAAUAAAAUUGUCAUUGCCUUACAAGAGGACACAUCAUUGAGGUCAUUUAGAAUCUUCAGGUGAAGGAAGACUGAUGUUCUCAAACAGAAAAGAUGGGCUGUUUCUGAUGGAAAUUAAGGAUCAAUGAGGAGACUGUUUUCCAUGGGUCUCUCACAUUUCUGGACAUCUUGCAAAUGAAGGCACUCACUGACUUUAUUUCAAAUUAUCUUUUGAAGGAUGUUUAUAUAGCAAAUGACAGAGAAAAUGUCUCUCUCUAGGGUGAAGACCAGAUAGAAUUACUGCUCAUUUUAAAAGAUUCAGGUACCCUAUGUUUAGAAUUCCUCUCUUGUACCCCACCCCAUUAUGUGUGCAGGUAUUACCCAGACUUCUUUGUAUUAUCCUGUAGAUUUGUGUCUUCCAGAACCAAUGCAAAUGCUGAUACUCUGGUUUUUGCUGUUCUGAAUAAUAAAGUCAUUAAUAUCUA